AAGGAAAAGAUACUUUUAGCACUGACAUUUCUGGAUGAAGAAAGGUAAUGUAUUCUGUCAGAAGCUAUGCCCUAAGGAUGGGUGCAGAAAGCAGGUAAGCCAAGUCUCACACUUAGAAGGCCCAGGGUUUUUCUACCAACCCAGUUAAACCGAGCCAGAAGGAUAGCCAAGCUAGGUUACUAGUUGGUUUGUUUAGAUCGGAAGAGCACACUUCUGA